rnacentral:rRNA from 1 species
ACGAACCGUCCAAACGUUAUUCGGAAUUACUGGGCUUAAAGGGUUCGUAGGCGGCCUUGUAAGUGAGAUGUGAAAUCCCACGGCUCAACCGUGGAAGUGCAUUUCAUACUGCAAGGCUUGAGGGAGACAGAGGUAAGCGGAACUGAUGGUGGAGCGGUGAAAUGCGUUGAUAUCAUCAGGAACACCGGUGGCGAAAGCGGCUUACUGGGUCUCUUCUGACGCUGAGGAACGAAAGCCAGGGGAGCGAACGGGA